GAUGAACGCUGGCGGCGUGCCUAAUACAUGCAAGUCGAGCGAACGGACGAGAAGCUUGCUUCUCUGAUGUUAGCGGCGGACGGGUGAGUAACACGUGGAUAACCUACCUAUAAGACUGGGAUAACUUCGGGAAACCGGAGCUAAUACCGGAUGAUAUUUUGAACCGCAUGGUUCAAAAGUGAAAGACGGUCUUGCUGUCACUUAUAGAUGGAUCCGCGCUGCAUUAGCUAGUUGGUAAGGUAACGGCUUACCAAGGCAACGAUGCAUAGCCGACCUGAGAGGGUGAUCGGCCACACUGGAACUGAGACACGGUCCAGACUCCUACGGGAGGCAGCAGUAGGGAAUCUUCCGCAAUGGGCGAAAGCCUGACGGAGCAACGCCGCGUGAGUGAUGAAGGGCUUCGGAUCGUAAAACUCUGUUAUUAGGGAAGAACAUAUGUGUAAGUAACUGUGCACAUCUUGACGGUACCUAAUCAGAAAGCCACGGCUAACUACGU
rnacentral:rRNA from 1 species